rnacentral:rRNA from 1 species
CACCCACAGGACGAGCAGUUAGCGCUAGACCUUUUUCUUUGGGAUGUAGGUGGCCGGCUAGGGCGUCGGCGGAGGGGGCGAAGGAGGCGUUAGGGCGUCGGCGGAGGGGGGCGCGGAGCGGGGCGUCGGCGGAGGGGGCGUAGGAGGAGCGGAGAGGGACACGGUGGGUAGAGGCGGAGGAGAGGGUAGAGGAGGGACGACGACGACCGGUAGCGUGGGAGUGGUAGCUGCUAACUACGCCGGUUGUCGCUCGCGGCCACUCGCUGGCCCUCCGGCGGUGGAGAGGACUGGAGGAGGGUCCAAGGGCUAGACCUCGCCGCUCCGGUUGGGGGAGAAGUGUGCGUCUACGAAAAGAGAAGGGAGUCAAGGGAGAGAGAGAGAAGGGACUGGGAGAGCUACCGGUCUCCCCCCACUGACCCACCUAGUCCACCGCCACUACAGUCUCGAGCUCCGCCUCUACCGCCUCGAGCCCGACCUCAUGAGUGCCCUACUGCCUAAGUUCCCGACCUCGAGAGUGCCUGACCUCCACGAGUCCGAUUUCCGUCAACUCCUGCGGGAUGCCCGCUCGACCUCCACCUCCGCAACUCUCGGGAGGGGGGUAGAGAGUAAAAGAGGUAAAGAAAGGGAGGUUGUAGAGUGAUGACGAAGACAUACCUUGUUGUCUCCCCUACCCUUCUCCGGACCUCAACGAGUCGUAGCCAGUUGGACGUUCCACCAAACGAGCUGGUGAGUGGCAACCAAGACAGUUAUACGUUCCACUAAACGAGCUAUGGAGCGACAACCAAGGCAGUUAGACGUUCCAAGAAGCAAGCCGACCUAACAUCCAACCGAGGUCAGGAACUAGUCAAGAAGACGUUCCUCUCAAAGUCACGAGUCGUAUAACGUCAUUAACGUCGUCGCUCAAGAUACUUCGUGCAGUUACCUCCCCUGUAUCAGUUACUGUUAGCGGAUGGUAAAUUAAUCUACCAAACGGUCAAAGAAGGACAUCUAUCAUAGUGUCACUACGCUAAGUCUACAAAUAUUAAGAAAAGGUUGUAAUGUAUAAGAACAUAAGUAAGUAAAACUUUGGUGCCUCCGGUAGCGUAAUACGUAACCAAUCUGAUCCAUUAAAGACAAUUCCAUAUUAAAAAGAUAGUUAUACGGUUCUAGCUGACAAGCGGAGUAGAAAUAAGACGUUUACAGUUUUACAGGUCUUGUAUUUAAAGUUCGAAAAUCUGGAAUGUAUACAAUACUUGAAUACUUCAAUACUAUAUACAGAUUUAAGUCGACCUAGAAGUUAAUUUAGGACUUAAGAUAUCUACAAAAUAGGAAAAGAUGUAGACUCAUAUGUGAUUAAUCAAUUUGGAAAAGAAAAGGCCUAGACGUAAGGUGGACAUGAUUAACGGUCUAAUAUAUACACAAACACAAGUAAGAAUUAAAUUUGAUCUGGAUCGACAUAUAUGAUGUUUUAAACAAUUUAAACGCGACCCGUCCAAAGGUACUACUCAAGCAUCGGAAAUACUUCAACGACGACGAACAAAAGACAUUAGUAACGAGUAAAGAGCAGAGGUAUCGUCUUUUAAACUAAGAACGUAGAUUGGGACUAGGACUACCACUUUAUUAACGAACCGUGUUAUUUCUUUACGAACUCACCGUACUACACAACCCAAAGGUACAAAAUGACAGUAAAUGUACUCCACCGUCAAAACCGAUGGAGGUGGGCGGAAUCAGACAAAUAAAAAUUCACCCUUCACUACUUAGCUUGUUCCUCCUUCCUGCUGCACGAACAAGAAAGGCCGCACCCAAAUGAUUUGAAACAUGUAUACUUAAAGUGGAGUAUAAAAGAAGGACCGAACUAUUCUUGACUUGUUAUAUUAAACCAAAGAGUACAGGUCAUAAGGUCUAACUCAUUACGAUCUCUAUACGCUGGGAAUCGGGUCAAAUGCUUUACGAAAUAAUCCACAUAAAAAGAAAGUACAUGUAUCGACCCUCAUCAGAUUAUCGGUAAAAAAUUCCUAUUUGUUCCGAAUGACAUGCAUUCCAAACUCUAAUGGGGUAAAGUUUAUUGAUUUCCUUUAGUGAUAAGGAGUUUACGUCCAAUAACCAAAUAAAAUAAAGCAUACCGUACAAAAACAAAGUCAAGAAACAAAAAAGUUAGGUAACGAAAGAUCGUCAGAAGUACUAUUGUCUCUAAACUCUUCCUAGAGAGAGACAUCGACAUCCACUAUUGAAAAAACAUGACUUUGAUGUUUUAAUAAACAAGAUAGAUACAGCAAAGAUAGAGGUGAUUCUCGAAAGUCGGACGUUCGUGGGUCAACAGGAAGAUUCAACCGUCCUAACUACUUUGGAAAUUCGGACUUGAUCGUAGGAAACCUAAACCCCCACGUAGUACGUGUAGACCUCGUAGUAGAAGACGACUCUCGAGUCCGUACCGCCACGGGUAAGAGUGCAGAAAGCGAUGUCAUAGUAGAUGUGAACAUCUCGAUGGAGGCCUACUCUACUUGUGAGGAUAUAGACGUAAGUCUCGUUUUCCUGUCCAACGAUACGGAUUUUGUGGGUCGUUUAGUGGUACGGGUUUUUCGCGAACGGCGUUUGAACAAGAACUCGAGAGAUUCAGAUUCCCACGUCGCGAUAGACCGAGACGAGGGUUCAACCGAUGGGUCUGACUUCUUCAACAAGGACGACCUUUACAACAAGUCGGACGUAGGUACGGUUUAUAUGUAUGGAUACAAACUAUACGUUUACUCAAACUAAAGUAGAAGCACGGUCGUUCCUUUAAGAUGGACAAUUCUUUGUUUAUCUCAAAACUACAAUGUAAUAACUAACCGAACCAAGAAGGACCACGUCAAGAUUCAAGGUCAUGAAAACAAAAAACGAACGAGUAUGGAAAAUUCUUCGAUGAUUUACGUCCAAGUGACAGUCCAACCAAUCUACAAGAUAUCUAGUGAUAUAUACGUCCAAGUAAUCGAUAGGUUCUUUUAAUCACAGUCCAAAGUCAUAGGUCAUCCGAUCUAAGGAACAGUCCGAGCAAAUAACAAAACAACGAGUGGUUACGUAACAUCUAAUCUACAGAUUGGUUAUUUUAGUCGGAGACCAGAUUCUUAGACUACCCAGAAAACAGGAAACUUUUGUUUUUGUAGGAAGAAAUAUGUAGAUUUUUUACCAAAGAAGAAGUGACUACACACACUACGAUAAACUAGUUCGAAACAAAGGGUGCUGACGAUACAAGUUUAAUUAUUCUCGGACCUAUUUUGUUGGAAAAUGGAAGUAUCAUUAUACGUAAGAAGAAAGAAAGGAGAACGUACAUGUAGGUUAAGAACAACAACGUUCGUUUUACUGAACGAAACAUCGGAACACUAGAAGGGUGUAAAGCCGAUUCUUGGAAAGAUUUUUAGAAGUCCCGCUGUACGCGUAAUUUUCCGAGGUCGGACAACAACUACGAAGACCCGAACUGUUCCAACCGCCUGGGCUCCAACAAUUCUUCGUGUACUACGGCAGUAGAAAACGCCUCACCGGACUCUCUUAACUCUGGGAACUUGUACCCGUUUUUCGUCAGCUACCUCGACUAUAAUGGUAAGUUUAGGUAGUCUACUUCGAUGAACUGAUGGACGUGUGUUAGUCCUGACCCGUUCACAAACCCUGUCACGAACGACAACAGGUGUGGCACCUCAAGGUCUUUUGCCCCCACGGGGUACGUGUAUAGGAACAAACCGUCCUCUUCUUGCUACUAGUCCGGGGACGUGAACGACUACAACUAGGUCUACGAACAUGACGACGUGGACGGUUGUCGCACCUUCGCCGCCAACGAGUCGGUCGAUCCGAAUUGUCCUAACGGUGAUGACGACGACGACGUAGUUGGUAAAGUAUUUUGUUACUAUCCAGGGAUUCGUUAGACGCGAAGUUUUACUCGCAGAUACACACCAACAAAACCGGAAAUGAUGGAAGAGGAAGCGAUGAAAGUUCGGGCGUUCUUGCUCACUUGCGACGUACCGGUGGCGACAGAAGGCCGUUGUGGGAAAAUUUGUCAGAUGACAAUACAAUGAACGUACAAACGUUAGGGCCAAAACCGUCAGUAUUUCUGUUCGGUUUUGAGGAAGUAUGAAAAGGGACAAAUUUAGGCUUGCCUCGUUGAAGGUAUAAGGCACCUAUUGCGAUAAUCUGGAGAAAACGAAAUGGGAGAGAGAGCUUACUGACAAAGUUAGAUGACAUUCAUAAACAAGUGAGUUAGCAGAUGACAUAGACGAUAAGGGUUACGUUAUAAUCGACAAGAUCUCGAAUGUAAUUG